rnacentral:lncRNA from 1 species
UUUGAGGUCACUGGUUUGAAAGUGGGAUUAUGAGCAUGAAUUUUUGUUGUUGUUGUUUGUUUGUUUUCAGACGGAGUCUCGCUAUGUUGCCCAGGCUGGGGUGCAGUGGCGUGAUCUCUGCUCACUGCAAGCUCCGCCUCCCGGGUUCACGCCAUUCUCCUGCCUCAGCCUCCCGAGUAGCUGGGACCACAGGCGCCCGCCACCACGCCCGGCUGAUUUUUUUUAUUUUUAGUAGAGACGGGGUUUCACCGUGUUAGCCAGGAUGAUCUCAAUCUCCUGACCUCGUGAUCCGCCCGCCUGGGCCUCCCAAAGUGCUGGGAUUACAGGUGUGAGCCACCGCGCCUGGCCGAGCAUGUUAAUUUAAGCAAAUGAAUGUCCCUGGGAAUGAUCUUCAAGGAGAAUUAAAGUGGGAUAGAGAAGUCAUCUAUCUGCACCUGUGUCUGAACCAGAAUGACGAGGCACUUCCAUGUCAGCUAGUUACUGGAGCAGGCGGAGUAAGGAGUACCCCUGGGCUUCUGCCCCGAAACCACCACGGCUACUUCAAAACAAUAUUACAUUAAUUUUCCUGCUUGUUCUUGAGAAGCACUGGUUUGAAAAAUUGGAUGGGGUGAUACAUGUUUUAAUCAGUAUUUACAAGGCUCCUUAAUCACUUCAUCAGACAAUUCAUUGAGCACCUACUAUGUGCCAGGCAGUGUAAUUCAUUGAGCACCUGCUGUGUGCCAGGCAGUGUCUGAGGCACUUCUAGCUAUUAUUUCCUAAGGGUUCCAGCAGCCCAUGGAUAAACUUCAAAGAGUGAAUGAGCAUCUCUAGCCUCUGCCUGUUCAUCUGGGACAAUCUGCACCUGGGCGUGGACCUGCUGCUUCAGAUCAGUAGGUAUCAGAAUGAACUCAGUUGGAUGGGGCAGUUCAGGACCCCUGGCCUCCUUUUAGUCUGGACCCCACUCUCAUUCCUCAUAUUCUCAAUUCACUCUUUCUACUGAGUUACUAUCCUAGUAAUGACAAUGCCUCCUAUCAUCUAGAGACUUGGUUUGAUACAAUGCAUUCACAUACAACUGCUCGUUUUGAUUUCUAUAACUGGGGAAUACAGAAAGCAAAUAUGCGGUGCAAUGGAGGAUGUCUCCAUUACCCCAGAUAACUCCAAAAUUCUUCACCUAGUUACCAGUGCAGGAAAUUCGUUCGAAGGCAGAAAUGGAAAAUGAAUAAGAAACAAUUUGGAUGUGUUCCAAAAAUGGAGAGUUGUCAGGCACUAUAUCAUACAACCUGAAAUAUCAAUGGUGAAGUAGACAGUUCACCUCCACAGGGGGCAGGAGGUUGGACCCAGGGCAAUGGAUGUUUUAUAUGGAUGGUUAACCGGUCUGUGGCCAUGAGGUGGAAAGCUGUGUACACCUGUGAAGCCAUCAUCACAAUCAAGUUAGGGAACAUAUCCAUCACCCAAAAAAGUGUUCUCAUGCCCUUUGGUAAUUCCUCCCUCCUAAAUGUCCCCACCCUACCCCACAUCCCAGUUUCUAUGCAAAAACCGCUG